rnacentral:rRNA from 1 species
GUGCAGUCGAGGGGCAGCAUAAAAGUAGCAAUACUUUGGUGGCGACCGGCGCACGGGUGAGUAACGCGUAUGCAACCUACCUAUCAGAGGGGAAUAACCCGGCGAAAGUCGGACUAAUACCGCAUAAAACAGGGGCACCGCAUGGUGAUAUUUGUUAAAGAAAUUCGCUGAUAGAUGGGCAUGCGUUCCAUUAGGUAGUUGGUGAGGUAACGGCUCACCAAGCCGACGAUGGAUAGGGGAACUGAGAGGUUGGUCCCCCACACUGGUACUGAGACACGGACCAGACUCCUACGGGAGGCAGCAGUGAGGAAUAUUGGUCAAUGGGCGGGAGCCUGAACCAGCCAAGUCGCGUGAAGGAAGAAGGAUCUAUGGUUCGUAAACUUCUUUUGCAGGGGAAUAAAGUGCAGGACGUGUCCUGUUUUGUAUGUACCCUGAGAAUAAGGAUCGGCUAACUCCGUGCCAGCCGCCGGC